AUGGAGGGUUCAAAUGAAAACAUAGAGAUGGAUGAGAUUAAUGGGUGGCCUUUUGUUUGUCUGAGUGCGUUAUGCGGGGUUUCCAUUGACAGAAUCUGAUGUGGGUUUGUUAAGAAACAGCACAAGGGCUUCUUUUUUGUUGUAGAACGAUUCUCUGUUUGGUUGCCAGAAAGGGAAAUGAAAGGUUUUGGGUUCUUCACCUAACUCAUUAACCCAAAUAGUUGGAUUAGACAGAGUCAAGUAAGGGUUUAGUUUAAUUUCUAUCUUUUGCAACCCUUCCCCUUUUGCAGGAACCAACUGGAGCAUAAAAUAAUUCAUGACUUCUUCUCCCUUCAUUGAAAUAUAAGAGAUUAGGUAGAUGGAAUUCUAGGGUGGUUUUGAAACAUUACCAUGCUUUGAGUCUGCUUUGCAGAGUUGGUUUUAUUUGUUGAAAUUUGGGCCAUUGGUGGACUCCCGUUUUCUUGGGCGUUAGAGAAAAGACUUUUGAUUUAUACAAAUCAUUUUGUGUGUCAAUGUUAUCUAACUUGGUCCUUGCCCUUAAAACCUUCAAAGGUUAAAUUUUAUCUUGGACCUUUUCUUUUCCUCAAACAAUACAGACUUUGAUGUGCUUCUUGGUCCAAAUAAGAAUUGAGGGUUGGUUGAAUUUGUGUAACAUCCUUCUCUGUUCCUUUGAUGACUAUAAAACUUCUGGAUUUUGCUUGAAUCAAUAGUAUGCCAUGUUACAUGACCUAUUUUAUUUCGCUUGAGUUUGGACACUGAGCUAAAUAUUGAAUACUGACACAUGAAUUGCAUUGCCCUGUUUCGGUGAUUCUGAAGAAGAAAGUUAGGGAACUGUCUCUGUGGAGAUUGUAAUUUUAUGCCAUGGAUUUUGAUGCACAAAGGGUUGUUAUUUUGAUUGUUGAAGUUCUAUUUUGUGUUUCAUUUAGUACUUUGGAGUCCCUGGAGUACUGUUUGAAAGCUAUCUUCUGCAAUUAUCUGAUCAUUUAGUGCUUUGGAAGGGAAAGUAAUUCAUGUUCCCACAUGAGAGCAGUGAAUUCUAGCUGCAUGGGAAGCCAUUUGCAUCAUGGCUGGAGUACUUGACUCCUAAGACAGUUUUCAAGGGUGCCUUGUAAUGUUCUUUUGUGUUUUUCAUUGAUUUCAAUACAAUGGAUUCUGCUGGAAGAAAAUUUGUUUUAUCGGAUUGCAGUGGGCAUAGUUUAAUGACCAACAAUUCUGUAAUGACUGUACAUUUACACAAUGAGACUGACUGCAAUUAUAUUCACAAAUGUUUCUUGUUCUUCUCUUAGAUUUAUGGUGUUUGGUUUGGUUCUGAGUGUUAGUCAUGGAUACACAUUUCAUCAAGCUGAGCUUCCUUGGUGGUAAAGAACUUGAUAAUGGUGGGCCUGCAGCAAGCCAAGGAUAAUCCUAGCCCCUAAGUCCUAAGCCAGAUGCUUAUCGAGCAAUCAUUUGGGAGUUGAUGAAAGUUGGAUCCUGAUGGGAUUGUGGACAUGAAGAAUAGUUGGUGAUUGUGUUUGCAGCCUGUGUUGUUGAGGACAAGGAUAAACUAUACUACUACAUGUCAAAGUGUUGCACAAAGAUGAAUGGAAUAGUAAAAUACAAAAAAAAUAAAACUCACAAAUAAUAGGUUUAUAUCGAGGCUAAAGUUUGACUCUAUGUCUCUUAAAUACUUAGAAUAUAAAGAUGAUUGUCUUAUAGGAUAUUGGAGAUUGUGAAAAUUUUUAUGAAUAAAUAAAUUUUUAUUUCUC